CGAGGUUUGGCUUGUGUCAGUGCUUCCCUGCACGGUGAUUACCGCUUGUCUAGUGCUGUAAUAACCUGAUUUGGGCCAUGUAGGAAACCCAGCAAUCUGCUGACGUAUGCCAAGCUUUUAUCCAAUAAGGAAAACACUGGCUCUAAGCAUGUCCAAGUGUGGCAUAAAGUCUGAACCAUGUUUGUUAUGGCACUGCUAGGUUUUGCAAGUAACCAAUAGUGGGCAGCCACUGCAAAGUGAGGGGGUAAUCAGAUUCUCGCCUGAAGGUGGCAGUGUAGUUAAAAAGACGAAUUCCUGGC